UACGUAGGUGGCAAGCGUUAUCCGGAUUUAUUGGGCGUAAAGAGAACGCAGGCAGUCUUUUAAGUCUGAUGUGAAAGCCUUCGGCUUAACCGGAGUAGUGCAUUGGAAACUGGGAGACUUGAGUGCAGAAGAGGAGAGUGGAACUCCAUGUGUAGCGGUGAAAUGCGUAGAUAUAUGGAAGAACACCAGUGGCGAAAGCGGCUCUCUGGUCUGUAACUGACGCUGAGGUUCGAAAGCGUGGGUAGCAAACAGG
rnacentral:rRNA from 1 species